UACGUAGGGGGCUAGCGUUGUCCGGAAUCAUUGGGCGUAAAGCGCGUGUAGGCGGUCCGGUAAGUCCGCUGUGAAAGUCGGGGGCUCAACCCUCGGAUGCCGGUGGAUACUGUCGGGCUUGAGUACGGAAGAGGCGAGUGGAAUUCCUGGUGUAGCGGUGAAAUGCGCAGAUAUCAGGAGGAACACCAAUUGCGAAGGCAGCUCGCUGGGACGUUACUGACGCUGAGACGCGAAAGUGUGGGGAGCGAACAGG
rnacentral:rRNA from 1 species